AGUGAACGCUGGCGGUAGGCCUAACACAUGCCAGUCGAACGGCAGCACAGUAAGAGCUUGCUCUUACGGGUGGCGAGUGGCGGACGGGUGAGGAAUACAUCGUAAUCUACUUUUUCGUGGGGGAUAACGUAGGGAAACUUACGCUAAUACCGCAUACGACCUACGGGUGAAAGCAGGGGAUCUUCGGACCUUGCGCGAUUGAAUGAGCCGAUGAGGGAUUAGCUAGUUGGCGGGGUAAAGGCCCACCAAGGCGACGAUCCGUAGCUGGUCUGAGAGGAUGAUCAGCCACCCUGGAACUGAGACACGGUCCAGACUCCUGCGGGAGGCAGCAGUGGGGAAUGUUGGACAGUGGGCGCGAGCCUGAUCCAGCCAUACCGCGUGGGUGAAGAAGGCCUUCGGGUUGUAAAGCCCUUUUGUUGGGAAAGAAAAGCAGCAGGUUAAUACCCCGCUGUUCUGACGGUACCCAAAGAAUAAGCACCGGCUAACUUCGUG
rnacentral:rRNA from 1 species